rnacentral:rRNA from 1 species
CAGCAGCCACGGUAAAACGUAGGUCCCGAGCGUUGUCCGGAUUUAUUGGGUGUAAAGCGAGCGCAGGCGGUUAGAUAAGUCUGAAGUUAAAGGCUGUGGCUUAACCAUAGUACGCUUUGGAAACUGUUUAACUUGAGUGCAAAAGGGGAGAGUGGAAUUCCAUGUGUAGCGGUGAAAUGCGUAGAUAUAUGGAGGAACACCGGUGGCGGAAGCGGCUCUCUGGCUUGUAACUGACGCUGAGGCUCGAAAGCGUGGGGAGCAAACAGGAUUAGAUACCCCCGUAGUCCUGUCUCUUAUACAC